rnacentral:tRNA from 1 species
UGGGGGAUAGUUCAACGGCAGAACGACAGGUUCUGGCCCUGUUAAUCUUGGUUCGAAUCCAGGUCCCCCAG